rnacentral:rRNA from 1 species
AGUGAACGCUGGCGGUAGGCCUAACACAUGCAAGUCGAACGGCAGCACAGUAAGAGCUUGCUCUUACGGGUGGCGAGUGGCGGACGGGUGAGGAAUACAUCGGAAUCUACUUUUUCGUGGGGGAUAACGUAGGGAAACUUACGCUAAUACCGCAUACGACCUACGGGUGAAAGCAGGGGAUCUUCGGACCUUGCGCGAUUGAAUGAGCCGAUGUCGGAUUAGCUAGUGGGCGGGGUAAAGGCCCACCAAGGCGACGAUCCGUAGCUGGUCUGAGAGGAUGAUCGGCCACACUGGAACUGAGCAACGGUCCAGACUCCUACGGGAGGCAGCGGUGGGGAAUAUUGGACAAUGGGCGCAAGCCUGAUCCAGCCAUACCGCGUGGGUGAAGAAGGCCUUCGGGUUGUAAAGCCCUUUUGUUGGGAAAGAAAAGCAGCAGGUUAAGACCCCGCUGUUCUGACGGUACCCAAAGAAUAAGCACCGGCUAACUUCGU